GAGUUUGAUCGUGGCUCAGGACGAACGCUGGCGGCGUGCUUAACACAUGCAAGUCGAACGAAGCUUGAUUACGGAUUCUUCGGAUGAAGUAUGAUAUGACUGAGUGGCGGACGGGUGAGUAACGCGUGAGUAACCUGCCCUUCAGAGGGGGAUAGCGUUUGGAAACGAACGGUAAUACCGCAUAAUGUAUUUUGACCGCAUGAUCGAAAUACCAAAGAUUUAUCGCUGAAGGAUGGACUCGCGUCUGAUUAGGUAGUUGGUGGGGUAACGGCCUACCAAGCCGACGAUCAGUAGCCGGACUGAGAGGUUGAUCGGCCACAUUGGGACUGAGACACGGCCCAGACUCCUACGGGAGGCAGCAGUGGGGAAUAUUGCACAAUGGGCGCAAGCCUGAUGCAGCAACGCCGCGUGAAGGAAGACGGUUUUCGGAUUGUAAACUUCUGUUCUUAGUGAAGAAUAAUGACGGUAGCUAAGGAGCAAGCCACGGCUAACUACGUGCCAGCAGCCGCCGUAAC
rnacentral:rRNA from 1 species